rnacentral:rRNA from 1 species
UACGUAGGUGGCAAGCGUUGUCCGGAUUUACUGGGCGUAAAGAGCGCGCAGGCGGUCGUUCAAGUCGAGUGUGAAAGCCCCCGGCUCAACUGGGGAGGGUCACUUGAUACUGAUCGACUCGAAGGCAGGAGAGGGAAGCGGAAUUCCCGGUGUAGUGGUGAAAUGCGCAGAUAUCGGGAAGAACACCCGUGGCGAAGGCGGCUCUCUGGAACGCAACUGACGCUGAGACGCGAAAGCGUGGGGAGCGAACAGG